rnacentral:lncRNA from 1 species
GUCUCCGCCAUGGGCCUGCGCCGCCUCGGGACCGGGGUCAGGGAGCUCCUGCCUGCCUGGAUGAAGAGGAGGUCAAGACUUUGUCCCCCACUCCGCAAGAUACCCUCUCUGUUCCGGAGCGGUGGGUCCCUCCCCUGUUAGGACCUUGUCUCCCUCAGGACUGGACCUGGAUCCUGGGCCUGCAGUCAGAUUGCCAGUUUCACUUAGAGGUGGAAAUGUCAACCCACUGGUUGGAAUGGGAAGGUGAGACAGGAUUUCACCAUGUUAGCCAGGAUGGUCUUGAUCUCCUGACCUCAUGAUCUGCCCACCUCGGCCUCCCAAAGUGCUGGGCUUACAGGCGUGAGCCACCGUGCCCGGCCAAAAAUAACUUUUAAAAACAUGAGUAUAGCAUACACACACACAAAAGUCCACAAAUCCUAGGUGUACCACUUGAUGAAUGAUCCCAACGUGAGCACACCUCUGGAUUACCACCUGGAUCAAGAAAUAGGACAUCACAGCAGCUGGCAGCUUCCAAGGAGAAGCUCUGGAAAGUUCUGCCUGUCUCAGCACCUGGCUGGAUCGGAAACGA